rnacentral:rRNA from 1 species
AGCAGCAGCCGCGGUAAUACAGAGGGUGCGAGCGUUAAUCGGAUUUACUGGGCGUAAAGCGUGCGUAGACGGCUUUUUAAGUCGGAUGUGAAAUCCCUGAGCUUAACUUAGGAAUUGCAUUCGAUACUGGGAAGCUAGAGUAUGGGAGAGGAUGGUAGAAUUCCAGGUGUAGCGGUGAAAUGCGUAGAGAUCUGGAGGAAUACCGAUGGCGAAGGCAGCCAUCUGGCCUAAUACUGACGCUGAGGUACGAAAGCAUGGGGAGCAAACAGGAUUAGAUACCCCCGUAGUCCCUGUCUCUUAUAC